rnacentral:rRNA from 1 species
UGGGCCUAAAGCAUCACGUAGCGCGGCUCUGCUAAGUUUUGCAUGUKAAAUCUCCUACGCUCAACUKACAGGACUGCCUGGCAAUACUGCAGAGCUAGGAGAGUGGGAGAGGUAGACGGUACUCGGAGAGGAAGGGGURAAAUGCUUUGAUCUUUUGAUGACCACCUGUGGCGAAGGCGGUCUACCAGGAACACGUCCGACGGUGAGGGAUGAAAGCUGGGGGAGCAAACCGGAUUAGAUACCCGGGUAGUCCCAGCUGUAAACUAUGCAAACUCAGUGAUGCAUUGACUUGUGGUCAAUGCAGUGCUGCAGGGAAGCCGUUAAGUUUGCCGCCUGGGAAGUACGUACGCAAGUAUGAAACUCAAAGGGAAUUGACGG